GACGAACGCUGGCGGCGUGCUUAACACAUGCAAGUCGAACGAUGAAGCCUAGCUUGCUAGGUGGAUUAGUGGCGAACGGGUGAGUAAUACGUGAGUAACCUACCUUUAACUCUGGGAUAAGCCCGGGAAACUGGGUCUAAUACCGGAUACGACCAAUCUCCGCAUGGGGUGUUGGUGGAAAGCGUUAUGUAGUGGUUAUAGAUGGGCUCACGGCCUAUCAGCUUGUUGGUGAGGUAACGGCUCACCAAGGCGACGACGGGUAGCCGGCCUGAGAGGGUGACCGGCCACACUGGGACUGAGACACGGCCCAGACUCCUACGGGAGGCAGCAGUGGGGAAUAUUGCACAAUGGGCGCAAGCCUGAUGCAGCGACGCCGCGUGAGGGAUGACGGCCUUCGGGUUGUAAACCUCUGUUAGCAGGGAAGAAGAGAGAUUGACGGUACCUGCAGAGAAAGCGCCGGCUAACUACGUGCCAGCAGCCGCGGUAAUACGUAGGGCGCGAGCGUUGUCCGGAAUUAUUGGGCGUAAAGAGCUUGUAGGCGGUUUGUCGCGUCUGCUGUGAAAGGCCGGAGCUUAACUCCGUGUAUUGCAGUGGGUACGGGCAGACUAGAGUGCAGUAGGGGAGACUGGAAUUCCUGGUGUAGCGGUGGAAUGCGCAGAUAUCAGGAGGAACACCGAUGGCGAAGGCAGGUCUCUGGGCUGUAACUGACGCUGAGAAGCGAAAGCAUGGGGAGCGAACAGG
rnacentral:rRNA from 1 species